rnacentral:rRNA from 1 species
GAUGAACGCUAGCGGCAUGCCUAAUACAUGCAAGUCGAACGGGAUUGCGGUAGUAGCUUACUACUACUGCAUGAGAGUGGCGCACGGGUGCGUAACGCGUGAGCAACCUACCCAUAUCAGGGGGAUAGCCCGGCGAAAGUCGGAUUAACACCGCAUAACAUCAACAGUUCGCAUGUUCAGUUGAUUAAAUAUUUAUAGGAUAUGGAUGGGCUCUCGUGACAUUAGCUAGUUGGUAGGGUAACGGCUUACCAAGGCAACGAUGUCGAGGGGCUCUGAGAGGAGCGUCCCCCACGAGUGUACUGAGACACGGAGCAGACGCCUACGGGCGGCAGCAGUAAGGAAUAAUGGUCAAUGGGCGCAAGCCUGAACCAGCCAUGCCGCGUGCAGGAGGACUGCCCUAUGGGUUGUAAACUGCUGUUAGCAGGGAAUAACCCCCUUUACGAGUAGAGUGUUGAAGGUACCUGAAGAAUAAGGAUCGGCUAACUCCGUG